AGAGUUUGAUCAUGGCUCAGGAUAAACGCUAGCGGCGUGUCUAAGGCAUGCAAGUCGGAAGGGUUUAGACCCUUGGCAAACGGGAGAGUAACACAUUGGUAACCUGCCCCAAAGUUUGGCAUAACCCUCUGAAAGGAGGAAUAACACCAAAUAUGUUUCACUUACUCAAGUGAGUGAAAUAAAGAUUUAUCGCUUUGGGAGGGGCCUAUGGUCUAUCAGCUUGUUGGUGGGGUAACUGCCUACCAAGGCUAUGACGGAUAGCGGGUGUGAGAGCACGACCCGUCUCACUGGGACUGAGACACUGCCCAGACUCCUACGGGGGGCUGCAGUCAAGAAUAUUCCUCAAUGGGCGAAAGCCUGAAGGAGCGACGCCGCGUGACCGAUGAAGUCCCUAGGGAUGUAAAGGUCUUUUCUAAGGGAAGAAUUUAUGACGGUACUUUAGGAAUAAGGGGUUGCUAACUCUGUGCCAGCAGCAGCGGUAAUACAGAGACCCCAAGCGUUAUCCGGAUUUAUUGGGCGUAAAGCGUGCGCAGAUGGUUUUUAAAGUCUGUGGUCAAAUCCCGAUGCCUAACAUCUGGACUGCCAUAGAAACUUAAAAACUAGAGGACGGAAGANGUCAACGGAAUUGNCGGUGUAACGGUCAAAUGUGUUAAUAUCGGNNGAACACCAGAGGCGAAGNNGGUUGACUGGUACGUACCCGACAUUGUUGCACGAAAGCGUGGGUAGCGAAUGGGAUUAGAUACCCCAGUAGUCCACGCCGUAAACGAUGGANAUNNUCAUUGGCAGUAUCGACCCUGUCAGUGGCGUCAAAAAANCUAACGCGUUAA
rnacentral:rRNA from 1 species